CGAAAUGCGAUAAGUAAUGUGAAUUGCAGAAUUCAGUGAAUCAUCGAAUCUUUGAACGCACAUUGCGCCCGCCAGUAUUCUGGCGGGCAUGCCUGUACGAGCGUCAUUUCAACCAUCAAGCCCCCGGGCUUGUGUUGGGGACCUGCGGCUGCCGCAGGCCCCGAAAACCAGUGGCGGGCUCGCGGUUAUCCGAUCAGCCGAAGCGUAUGGGGACUCUUCAAACGCUCAGCGGCGCGGACCGACGCCUGCCUAAGCCAUAAUGGCGUCUAUUCUUCCAAGGUUUGACCUCGGAUCAGGUAGGGAUACCCGCUGAACUUAAGC
rnacentral:misc_RNA from 1 species